AACGCAACUCCUCUAGAUGCUAACGUUAACAACAUUACCCCGGUAAACCAGUUUGAACAAACCGGUACGGUGCUGUUGUGCCUGGAGAAGAAAUCUUUCUAGGUUAUAGUUUUGAAGUACAUUGUUUCACGCACAAGGCUGGACGUCAACACAGAUCCUGCAGGAGGACAUGGAGACUGCUGUGAUUAAUCUUCACAGCAUUUUUGAAAGCCUGCGGGCACAAGCUGAUGUUCUCAAUGAAAGCAUUGAGCCCCAGUUCAUUCAGAUGGCCUUGAACUUUGAGGACAGCCGCCGUAGAUGGCUGAGACUCGAGCAGGAGCUGAAUGCAUGCAAGGAGGUGGUCACCAAGGCCGAGACGGAGCGAGGAGCUCUGGAGGUCAAGCUCAAACAUGCCCGCAACCAAGUAGAUGUGGAGAUCCGUCGGAGACAGAAAGCUGAGGCUGACUGUGCGAAACUGGACCGACAGAUCCAGCUCAUCCGGGAGCUGUUGGUGACCGAAGGCUCCAGUAACAGCAUCCAGUUAAAUGAGGAGCAGCGCUCAGCUCUGGCCUUUCUGAAUGUCCGUUGCCAGAAUCCUGCAAACCUCAACACCAGCCGACGACUGACCACCAUUGAUGAAUCAGGCUCUAUCUUAUCAGACAUCAGUUAUGAUAAAACCGAUGAUUCUUUGGACUGGGACUCUUCUGCAAUCAGGACUGUUCGUCUCAAGAAACGGCAAAAGAGACGCUCCUCCCGAAACCACACAGAUGGCCCCCCUGCCGCUGCCAAGAGGUCCCGUUCCACCGGCCGCACCUCUGAGAAAGGUAAUGAGUCUUUGGUGGCUAAGACCACUGUGACCGUGCCCGCUGAUGGCGGACCCAUUGAAGCUGUCACCACAGUGGAAGCUGUUCCUUACUGGACCCGGAGCCGCCGAAAGACUGCUGCUCUGGAGUGGGACACUGCUGACACAGACUCUGUUCAGUCUAUGGAUGUGUUCAAGCAGCCCAGUCAGCCUAAUGGAGAGAUCAAGGCAGGGCCCAGCACUCCCCAGGGCAACGGAGGUGUCCGUCUGCAUGAAUUUGUCUCCAAAACGGUGAUCAAGCCAGAGUCUUGUGUGCCAUGUGGUAAGAGGAUCAAAUUUGGGAAGAUCUCUCUGAAGUGCAGGGACUGCCGUGUGGUGUCCCACCCCGAGUGCCGUGAGCGCUGCCCUCUGCCCUGCAUUCCAACCAUGACUGGGACUCCAGUGAAAUCCGAGGAGGGCAUCCUUGCAAAUUAUGUGUCCACAUCCUCUCCCAUGAUUCCUUCGCUAGUAGUGCACUGUGUUAAUGAGAUUGAGCAGAGAGGCCUACAUGAGACUGGUCUGUAUCGGGUGUCUGGCUCGGAUCGAGUGGUAAAGGACCUGAAAGAGAAGUUCCUGCGUGGGAAGGCUGUUCCUUUGCUCAGCAAGGUGGAAGAUAUCCAUGCCAUCACUGGCCUCCUCAAGGACUUCCUGAGGAAACUCAAAGAACCCCUGCUGACCUUCCGCCUCACUCGUGCCUUCAUGGAUGCCGCUGAGCUCUCCGAUGAUGACAACAGCAUCGCCUUGAUGUAUCAGAACAUCAGUGAUCUUCCACAGCCUAACAGAGACACUCUGGCCUUCCUCAUCAUCCAUUUGCAGAGGGUGGCCCAGAGUAAAGAUACAAAAAUGGAUGUAACCAAUCUGGCUCGUGUAUUUGGACCCACAAUUGUGGGUCAUGCUGUUCCUGACCCAGAUCCAAUGACCAUCCUGCAGGACACAAAACGACAGGCAAAAGUGGUUGAGUGCCUCCUGGGUCUGCCUGUGGAGUACUGGAGCCAGUUUAUGAUCAGCAACAAUGACCAGGCUCACAAUGAUAACAUGAUCAUUGAGAAUGCCAAUGUCCACGCAACUCCUGAUCAGAUGAACGAGUAUGUUUGGGCCCAUUACGACUCCUGACCAGCAGAUGAGCAAGACCCCAUCGUCCAGCUCUCUCUCCCAGCGCAUGAAGAAUGCAACUCUCAAUGCAAUCACUCCAAAGUUUUCUAGCAGAAGCAGAGCUGCCGUUAGCGUCUCUCGCCAGGGGCACUUUUUCGCCUCUCCUCUCCUGAAGUAGCCCUGAAGCUCCUCAAGGCUAAGAGUUUUUCUUUUCUUUGGGAAACAGCUGCAAUAUAUUACAUAAUCCUACUUGUAUAUUUUAUGUCUGGUUUGUCCAUCAAUUUGGACCAUAUUAACGCUACUCAUUUUAUCUGUCAAGUUUUCUAGUAACAUUUGUAUUUUAGUUGCUUUUAAAUGUUUUAAUGUACUUUUAACAUUCUCACAACCAAAGCGAUGGGCUGUUAUAAGCAGUUCCAUCAGUCUCUAAAUCCUCAGUUAACAACAGGAUCUGCAUCAGUUUGGGAGUUCUUUAUCAAGAAACCUGAACUUGAAUGUAGCAUCUAGAACAAAAAAGAUUAUGCUGUAUGCAAGAUUUGUAUAUAGUAUAAUCUGAAACUGUAAUCUUGUGUAUUGCUUGUGUAUUUUGUAAUUGUAUGUUUUACAUGGAACGACAAGCAAAAUCCCAAUCUCUUAGAGCGUUCAAGGCUGUAGUGACUAUCAGACUUUCCUAUGUAGAGUGUAAACUGUUUUUAAACAUGGUCAAACUUAAAUUUCACAGCCAGUAGUUUUAAUACAGAAUUUAAGAUGAUGCUGCUGAUGUUAAAUGUUUAAAUUAUUCAUUUGUUGUUUGAGAAACACUAUGCUUCUGAACCCUUUGAGAUUUGUGCAUGGAGGGGUUCAGGACAGUGAGAAAAUUAAGAAUAUAUGCAAUUUGUAAUGAAAAACACGUUGUGGUUGUGCUUGGGCAUUUUGCCUUUCAGCAUCAUAGUUGUUUUUUGAUCAUAAAUGAACAUGGCCAGAAUUCUUUCAGAUUUUCACUUUGGCAUUAAUUUGUCUUUAUGCAGUUUUGGCUUAAUUUAUUGAAUUUUGUACCGCAUUUAAAGAAGAAACAAAAAAUGGUGACCUCUGGGAGAAUUGACUGAUUUUGAAGGAUCCAGUGUACCUCAUCCAUUUCAUAAGAGAUUAUACUGAUUGGGCAGUCUUUACUGUAUACAAUUAGUCAUUUUCCUUUGUUGUGCCACAUUUUUUGGACCAGUAGUUGUGCAGCAUUGAACUGUCAAGCUUUCAUCGUUUUAAAAGGGCAGUUGUUUACGAUGUUGAACACUGGAGUUGAUUUAUCAACUCUGUUGCUUUUCAAUUUGGGUGGUGUGAUAUUUUGUAAGACUUAUGCUGUUUGUAAAAUACAAUCAUUUAUUGCAA